rnacentral:misc_RNA from 1 species
GAUGAAGAACGCAGCGAAAUGCGAUACUUGGUGUGAAUUGCAGAAUCCCGUGAACCAUCGAGUUUUUGAACGCAAGUUGCGCCCGAAGCCAUUAGGCCGAGGGCACGCCUGCCUGGGCGUCACACGUCGUUGCCCCCCCAUCUACUCCUUCGGGAUUGCGGGGGGCGGAUGAUGGCCUCCCGUGCGCCUCGUCGCGCGGUUGGCAUAAAUGCCAAGUCCUCGGCGACGCACGCCACGACAAUCGGUGGUUGCGAAACCUCGGUUGCCCGUCGUGUGCGGUCGUCGCGCAUCGAGGGCUCGAAAAAAGUGUCGGGCUCCGGCUCGGCUUUCAACGCGACCCCAGGUCAGGCGGGGUUACCCGCUGAAUUUAAGCAUAUCAAUAAGCGGAGGA